CCUACGGGAGGCAGCAGUGGGGAAUAUUGCACAAUGGGCGAAAGCCUGAUGCAGCGACGCCGCGUGAGGGAUGACGGCCUUCGGGUUGUAAACCUCUUUCAGCAGGGAAGAAGCGCAAGUGACGGUACCUGCAGAAGAAGCACCGGCUAACUACGUGCCAGCAGCCGCGGUAAUACGUAGGGUGCGAGCGUUGCCGGAAUUAUUGGGCGUAAAGAGCUCGUAGGCGGCUUGUCACGUCGGGUGUGAAAGCCCGGGGCUUAACCCCGGGUCUGCAUUCGAUACGGGCAGGCUUGAGUGUGGUAGGGGAGAUCGGAAUUCCUGGUGUAGCGGUGAAAUGCGCAGAUAUCAGGAGGAACACCGGUGGCGAAGGCGGAUCUCUGGGCCAUUACUGACGCUGAGGAGCGAAAGCGUGGGGAGCGAACAGGAUUAGAUACCCUGGUAGUCCACGCCGUAAACGUUGGGAACUAGGUGUUGGCGACAUUCCACGUCGUCGGUGCCGCAGCUAACGCAUUAAGUUCCCCGCCUGGGGAGUACGGCCGCAAGGCUAAAACUUAAAUGAAUUGACGG
rnacentral:rRNA from 1 species